UUCUCGCAUAUUUUUAUGAAAUGAUUCCUUGUUUUUAAUGUACAGUCUAAAGUGUUUUGCUUAGUCCAAAGUGUUAGUUUACGUUGAUUUGAUAAAAUCCUUUCUGUAUUAAGGUUAGAGUUUACGAAUCAGUAGAACUUUUGGUCUAAUAUAAUACAUUCUUAUUAUACUGGUUUAAAUCUUCUUAACUCUUGACUGAUUGUUUAUAUGUGAAAUAUGGUCAAAAUUGAUAAUUGGUUUACUUUAUUGGUAGAUUGAUUAUAAAAUGGACAAGUCUUGGAUCACAAAACAUCGUUUAUCUAAAGAUUACAGAACUGGUGUCAAAAAUUUUUUGGAUUUUGCGUUUAGUGAUAUUAAGAAAGAGAUGAUAAAAUGUCCUUGCCAGCGUUGCUGCCUGGUUAAAUACAAGCAUAGGGUUGAUGUUGAGGGUGAUUUAAUAUGUCAUGGUAUUCUACCAACAUAUACAAAUUGGUAUCUACAUGGAGAAAAAUUAGAUUUCCAUGAAGAGACCAUUGGAUUAGAAUCUGAAUCCAAUGUAGAUAACAUGCUCCAUAACCCGACGGUUGAAAACCAAACUAGAAAUCUACUUGGAGAUGCUUUUCCAAGUAUGGAUACUAGUUUUAAUGAAUCUGCUAGUAUGCCCACUGAUCAAUCAAAGCAAAAAGAAGCGAAUUAAAAGUCGAUGAUAUAUACUAUUCUAAUUGUAGAAAGUGAGACUGCGUAAUAUUAAAAGUCGAAGCGAAUUAAAGAUACUACAUGCACUUGGAAAAAAGAGUUUGGCAAGAAAAGCUUAUGAGAUUGAAGAGGAGACUGGCAAAGAACCAAGUCGAGCAGAAAUGUUCAUUGCAUCACGAACAAGAUCAGAUGGAAAUUUCAUUUGCAAUGAAGCAAGGAUAUCUGCAGAUAAGCUUACACAAGUAAUGAAUCAAAAUAUUAAAAGUGAAGCAUCAAGUAGUGAGUCUGGUCCUAAGGAUGCAUUUGAACAAGUAUUUGGUUCCGAGCAUUCUGGAAGAGUUCGAUGUGUGGGACGUGGUCCAACACCGUCCAAAUACUUUCAGAAUUUGGAAUCGCAGGUAAGAAGUAACUCUGAGAUACUUGAGCUGAAGUCUCGCAUGAAAGGACUUGAAGAUAAACUUGAUAUCGUGGCUAACGCUCUUCAGAUUAUUAUUUCAAACAAUCAAUUUCAAACUAGUACGACAGAGACUAAGAUUGACUAGAAUGAUCAUAAAGUGACGUGAUAUGGAAUUUAGUGAAGAAUGGAGACAAUGAUUUCAUCUAGCCUUUUGAUAGAAGAUGAAGGACAAGAAAAUAUAGAAGAUGAAGGACAAGAAAAUAUAGAAGAGGAUAUAUAAAAGAUAGAUUUUAAUGCAAUGUUAUUUACUUUUACAUUUUUUAUUAUCAUGUACACAAGAACACAAGUAUAUUUGAGACAGAUUAAUUGAUUUUUAUCACUUGAUGAAUAUUGUGUUCUGGUUA